AUUGAACGCUGGCGGCAUGCCUUACACAUGCAAGUCGAACGGUAACAGGUUAAGCUGACGAGUGGCGAACGGGUGAGUAAUGUAUCGGAACGAGCCCAGUCGUGGGGGAUAACUGCUCGAAAGAGCAGCUAAUACCGCAUACGACCUGAGGGUGAAAGCGGGGGAUCGCAAGACCUCGCGCGAUUGGAGCGGCCGAUAUCAGAUUAGGUAGUUGGUGGGGUAAAAGCCCACCAAGCCAACGAUCUGUAGCCGGUCUGAGAGGACGACCAGCCACACUAGGACUGAGACACGGACCAGACUCCUACGGGAGGCAGCAGUGGGUAAUUUUGGACAAUGGACGCAAGUCUGAUCCAGCCAUGCCGCGUGCGGGAAGAAGGCCUUCGGGUUGUAAACCGCUUUUGUCAGGGAAGAAAAGGUUCUGGUUAAUACCUGGGACUCAUGACGGUACCUGAAGAAUAAGCACCGGCUAACUACGUGCCAGCCGCCGCGGUAACAC
rnacentral:rRNA from 1 species